rnacentral:tRNA from 1 species
GCCUGGCUAGCUCAGUUGUAGAGCAUGCAACUCUUAGUCUCAGAGUUGUGAGUUCGAGCCCCAUGUUGGGCA